rnacentral:miRNA from 1 species
GUUGGUACAAAAGCAAUUGCAGUUUUCGACAUAUAAAAGUAAUGGCAAAAACUGCAGUUACUUUUGUAUCAA